CCUACGGGAGGCAGCAGUGAGGAAUAUUGGUCAAUGGGCGGGAGCCUGAACCAGCCAAGCCGCGUGAGGGAAGAAGGUACAGCGUAUCGUAAACCUCUUUUGUCAGGGAACAAAGGCGGGGACUAGUCCCCGGAUGAGGUUACCUGAAGAAAAAGCAUCGGCUAACUCCGUGCCAGCAGCCGCGGUAAUACGGAGACUGCGAGCGUUAUCCGGAUUUAUGGGGUUUAAAGGGUGCGGAGGGGGCCUGUUAAGUCAGCGGUAAAAGCCCGGGGCUCAACCCAGGCGAGCCGUUGAAACUGGCGGGCUGGAGUUGGAUAGAAGUACGCGGAAUGCGCGGUGUAGCGGUGAAAUGCUUAGAUAUCGCGCAGAACCCCGAUUGCGAAGGCAGCGUACCGGCUCCACACUGACGCUGAGGCACGAAAGCGUGGGUAUCGAACAGGAUUAGAUACCCCAGUAGUC
rnacentral:rRNA from 1 species